UCCAGCACGCGAAACCCUCGCACCCAUUCGCACUGCCGCCUCCGCGGCCGCGCGCUCAACACUCGCCAGGCACCUCGCCGUUUCCGCGUUUCCUUCCUCAAGGGCGACCCCGAUGCCAAAAUCGGCAACCCGGAGCGCGCGCCGUCGUAUAUAAGGAUGCCUCGUCUCCCUAGCCCUAGCCUGCGCCUCCUCUGACCCUCACCCGCCGCCGGCCCCCGAAACCCUAACCCACUCCGGCGAGUAGAUCCGGCACGUUCUGCUCUCUCCGCCACCAGCCGCCAGAGAUGGCCGCCCGCAAUUCAUCUGCGCCCGCCGCACACCCGCUCCACCAGGAUUCCGUCGCCGCCCCCAACUCGCCCCUGCUCGCCGCCGACCCGCUCCACCAGGCUGCCGUGGCCAACCCCAACUCUCCCGUGCUCGCCGCCAACCCGGUCCACCAGGCCAGCGCGGCGGCGUCGUCGGGGAUGUACGGCGCUCCUGGGGCCCUCCCAACCGAGCAAGGGUCUUUGACGGUGCUGCCGCCGCCACAAGGCGCGCCUGUGAUGAAGACGGUCCAGGGCGUGAACAUGAUGGCUCCGACGCCCCUGCAAUGACCCCCGGUGAUGCAAGGGGCAAACACGGUGGUGCCGAUGCCCCUGUGGGAGCUGGUCAUGACCGUGCCCCUACAAGGCAGACCUGUGAUGGCACCUCUGCCUUUCCCCGCAGUCCUCCAUCCAUGAUGGCACCUCCGUCCUUUUAUGAUGUCGCUUCACCAAUGACGGUGCAGCAGCCUCCACAUGCCGGAUACAUGAUGGGCCAGCCGCUGUUGCGUGCCAGCCCUCCACCGAUGGCGGCGCUGCAUCUCCCACAGGCCGUGCACAUGGUGGCACAGCCGCCUUUGCCAGCUGGCCCCCCUCCUCUCAGGCGUCGCCGUCCUGACUACUUUGACAUGCCUUUUGGACCGCGGAUGACUGGUUUUGAGCUGGAAAUGGCUGGAUUUGAUGAAUCAAUGGGACUGCCUUAUGGGCCUUACAUAAACAAUGAGAUGCCUUCUGUUGGUUCGUAUCAAACACCCUACAUGUUGAAGGUUUCCCACCCAACUGUACUAGACGGGAGCUUGCACAUAUAUUUCGCCCUUUUACUGGGUUCUGUGCAGUAAGGCUGGUCAACACAGGAUAUAAUAAUCGACAUGUAAUAGCUUAUGUUGACUUUGAAACUCUUGCCUAAGCCUUCUCUGCCAUGAAGUCUCUGCAAGGUUAUUUGUUUGACAUGCAUGACCUAUACUCAGUCAAAUUGGACCUCCAGUUCCUUCCUGUUCCGUCCAAGAUUCACACGGCAAUCAUUUUGUACAACUACUCUGGUCAUGAGUAAUGUUAAUGUAACAUAUAAUGGAUCUUUCCAUUUUAUGGCUUCUCCUUACGUUUUCAACCCCAGUCUCUCGAAUCCUUGGUGCUUAAUAGAAAAAUCACGGUGCUAGUCAAUGUAGGUUAUGAGGAAUGGCCUGACAUGAAUGAGCCUACCCAGUCUUAUCUUGUGUAACUUAACAGUCGAAGUAGUAAUAAUUGCAGCAGGUUUUUGAUGUUCACCUAGUGUUGCCAUGCAUAAAAGAUUUAAAAAAACAAGAUAAAUAUUGGUAGGAUGUUGGUGCUCAAAUUUGACCAUGUGAUAUUGUGAUGCGAUUCUAACUUCUGCCUGGUCUGACUCCUGUGUGUACGGUGAGGAGCGCAGAUCUACUGCCUUUUGUAGUUCUGUAUGCUAAUGGGAAACCAUCCGAUGAAGGCCCUUGUGUUUCGCUGAGGUUGUUUGUUUGACAUGCAUGACCGAUACCCAGUCAAAUUGGACCUCCAGUUCCUUCCUGGUCCGUCCAAGAUCUGCUGCCUUUUGUAGUUCUGUAUGCUAAUGGGAAACCAUAUAUAAGAUGAAGGCCCUUGUGUUUCGCUGAGGUUAUUUGUUUGACAUGUAUGACCGAUACUUAGUCAAAUUGGACCUCUAGUUCCUUCCUGGUCCGUCCAAGGUAAACUGAUGGCUCGUGCUAGGCGAUUAAUCUUGUGGGUCUCAGUUUCUUAUAUAUCAAUCUGAAACCAUCAAUUUGCAAAUUAUUCUUUGCUUAUGUUACUCCAUGGGUGAGAAUGGACAACUUGAUUAAUUGUUUCCCAGGCUUUACCUGAUACACUAUGAUGAGCCUAUAUUAGAACUGGAAUUGAUUUUUUAAAGUUAAAUGUUGUAUGAGAUGCUCUAGUUUGUCAUUUUGUACCGUAACUUAUCAUGUAUCUGCGUGGCCCAUACAAUACAGUUAUGAACAACUGAAGGUUUCAUAUCACCAAGGUUUUACAAAAGUAAAAGGUUUCUGUUUGGUGGGCAUAUUACGUCAAUAUAGUUUUAUUGUAGAUUACACAAGGGCCAUGACAUGGCAUGUGCCUGGUGCUCUUUAAGCUGCUUACCUUGAAGAUAAGCAAAGUUCUGUUUGCUCCAAUGAUGUUUUCUGUUGUUGGGUUACUCAAGCAAGAUUGAUUGUGUUCGGUUCAUAAUCACUUAGUCACCUAGCCCACUUGUCAUGCUCUUUCGGCUAAAUUGCCACAAUUGUGUCCAUCACACUUCGGCCAACCAAGUAACUAUAUGCCAUGACUCUCGAUCCAUGUUCCUUUGUGUGUGGGCGCCGCACGGGGUUGGGGUGGUAGGAUUCCUUGCGGUUUAGGGCGAGACUCGCGUUGGCAGGGGAGGGAUGCGCGAAACUGCCUGGCGAGCGUCCUGAUUUCCGGUGGAUGCUUGGGAAUUGUGAAGAUCUUUUUGGUGGUGUUUUGCCGUACCGUGUCCUCAUCGGUGGCGGGUGCGUGUACCCGCCGCCCAUGGCAGAUAGUAUGGGAUCUCUCUGUCCAUCCGUGCCACCGGCGAGGUAGGAGGAAACGGCGAGGAGUCAUUUUUUUUAGAAUGGGGCAUGGGAGGAUUUGAGCGGAGAAGGAAGAUGGCGAGAUGAUGAGCCUUAAUGGUGAUGAUAUUUGAGGUUCGCAGUGGGCCUCUUAAUUGUGUUAGAUGUACAUUAUGGAGGCCCAGUCGGGAAAGCCCACUAAGAGACACUGCUGUCUGACGGGUGGGCGCACACAGAGGGCCCCUCUAGGAGACGGAGAGGGAGAUGGCGGCGUCGGCAGGUGCGGCGUGGCAUCGUAUUCGCGGUCAGCGAUGGCAAGAGCGCGCCGCGUAGGAGGAUGGUUGGGAGGCGGAGCGACAGGUAGCGUCGUGGCGCAUGGCCGCACCCGCACCACGGGUGAAGCAGCAGCCGCUAGGGAGCUGAGGCAAGCCGCAAUCGUCCCUUAGUUUCUGUAUACUUCUCUUGUCAGCUGUCACCGUAAUUGUCAAUAGAAGUUGCCAAUUUUGGUUGCUAAUCCCGCAGGUUAGCACAGUAGGCCGAAAAACGUUGUAUCAGCCGCUUUGGCUCUUCUUCUAAGAAAAUGAUGCAUCUUUCCAUGUUUAUUCUAGAAAGAACAGAAGUAGGAGAUGCUAGCUUUGUAAAAUUAUUCUCAGAUGGUGCGACACUGCGACUGCUCCGUAAAAAUGUGCAACUCAAGCAGAAAUGUUGUGUGUGCGUUAGUUUAGAGGGAAUUGUUUGGCCAUGACCCUAAAAAAAGGAACCUAUUUGCCCAUCAAUUCGACCUUGCAAUGUUUUUCAAAUUUAUCCAUGAAUUUGAAUUUGAUUGGAUUAGA